UUCAGUCUUUUUGUUUACAACUACAUUAUCAUUUUAGAGAUGGGGAAAAAAUGAAACUUACAAACUGUAUCAUUGGGAGCAAAUCCAGAGUGGAAGAACAUCAGCAUGUAUGGCAUUUCGAGUUCUGAUUUUAUGUAAAGCACCCAUAGAGAUGUGAAGGAGCGGGGAGUGCACUGUGUGUCAUUCAGCCCCUAGCUCAGCCUCGCCACCAGACGGAUGCAGCCUGGGGACCAAGCUUCCAACUCCUUCCACCGAAACAAAACCAAAGCCCUACGAGAUGGACUUAACUUUUCACCAAUAGCUUAAUUUCACCCAUCUGGCUGGCGAUAUUAUCUAAAUGGAUUUCUGCAGAAGUACAGAAGGGUGCCCUGUUUGUAAACUCCAGGCAGCACUUGGGCAUUAGCAGAUAAAAAGUUUGCCCACCAUUACAUGUGAGAAAGAGACUGUGGGGAGGAAGAGGUGAGGAAGGAGGAAGAGAAAAGACACUUUAAAAUAAACUGAUUAUUGGCA